rnacentral:rRNA from 1 species
AUUGAACGCUGGCGGAAUGCUUUACACGUGCAAGUCGAGCGGCAGCGCGGGGGCAACCCUGGCGGCGAGCGGCGAACGGGUGAGUAACAUAUCGGAACGUACCCCGUCGUGGGGGAUAACACAGCGAAAGCUGUGCUAAUACCGCAUACGACCUGAGGGUGAAAGCGGGGGAUCGCAAGACCUCGCGCGAUGGGAGCGGCCGAUAUCGGAUUAGCUUGUUGGUGAGGUAAAGGCUCACCAAGGCGACGAUCCGUAGCUGGUCUGAGAGGACGACCAGCCACACUGGAACUGAGACACGGUCCAGACUCCUACGGGAGGCAGCAGUGGGGAAUUUUGGACAAUGGGGGGCAACCCUGAUCCAGCCAUUCCGCGUGAGUGAAGAAGGCCUCGGGUUGUAAAGGCUCUUUCUAGCAGGAACGAAACGGGUAGGCCGACCUAAUACUAGGCUACUAAUGACGGUACCUGAAGAAGAAGACACCGGCUAACUACGUAGCCAGCAGCCGCGGUAA